AAGUAAAUGACCUGGUUUCAUGUUGGAUCAGAGCAAUAGGGUCAAACAGUAACAACAACAACGGUGAGGACGACGACUACGAUCCACACCACCACCGCCAGCUGCCCUCUAACAACAACACCAACACCACAGCUACUAAUACCGAAACGUCAACGUUGACAACCUUCACAAUCACAACCACCAUCACCGCUGCCAACAUGUCGACGACGACUCCGACCUUUCACCACUACCACUGCCACCACUAUCACUGCCACCACCAGCACCCAACAACACUACCACCAACACGUCGACGACGACGAUGACGAUGACCACCACCACCACCACUAAUACAAUCACCAUACCAUCCACAACGCCACUCAACCAUCACCAACACCCGUAUCUACGCAUUCGCGAGGAAAAAACGUAAUGUCUGGCCUGUCGCUCGAAAUGCUGAACAUAACAGUCAAAUCUCACGCAAAACACAUCCUGAUUGCUGUCUUUCAAAAUGAAACAAAAAGUAGGACCAUGCAGAUAACAAGUAAAUCUCCCAAGGCCACACCUACUUCUAUCUCGGCAGAUUUGAAUCGUUUGCACGAGGCACCAUUCGCGGUUUACCGAAAUCACAAUUUCCACUCCCAUUUUUAUUUUCAAAAGGUGUACGACUGCUUCUGAGGAGUCUAGAGGUCCAUCCAAGUCGAUGAUAACCAUUCCGUUCUCUUCCAGUAUAGUGUCGUGGAUACUAGUAUACUUAGAGCUAAUACGAGUUAUACAACACAGUGUAAAUACAGAGCAAAAGUAGAUUAUGAUAAACACAAAUUCAUAUCAUUUGUUUUGUCCGUACGUUACAGAAUUGAGGCUAUUUGCAAAUUCUGCGCUGGAUAAACCGGGGGUGAUUGGAUGCUA